rnacentral:tRNA from 1 species
GUCGUUGUGGCGGAACUGGUAGACGCGCCAGCUUGAGGUGCUGGUGGUGGCAACACCGUGUGGGUUCGACUCCCACCUUCGACACCA